rnacentral:tRNA from 1 species
GGAGAGGUGCCGGAGUGGACGAACGGGCCCGUCUCGAAAACGGGUGUAGGUUUGCGCCUACCGUGGGUUCGAAUCCCACCCUCUCCG